UCCCACAAAUCUACACUGGGGCAUUAAAGGUGCUAGCCUCAGAGUGAAGUCAAAGAAUAAAUAUGAAGUUGUGCUCUAUGCAAAACCAUUUGCUUAUGCCUCCAAAACUCCUUAUGAAGAAUGCAUGAAGCCUAAGCCAACUCCUGCUCCUUACUAUUACAAAUCUCCACCUCCUCCAUCACCAAUAUAUAUUUACAAGUCACCUCCUCCUCCAUCACCAAAAUACGUAUACAAGUCUCCGCCACCACCGUCACCAAAAUACGUGUACAAGUCACCUCCUCCUCCAUCACCAAAAUACGUAUAUAAGUCACCGCCUCCUCCAACACCAAUGUAUGUAUACAAAUCACCACCUCCACCAUCACCAAAAUACGUGUACAAGUCACCACCUCCCCCAUCACCAAAAUAUGUCUACAAGUCACCGCCUCCCCCAUCACCAAAAUACGUAUACAAGUCCCCGCCACCACCAUCACCAAAAUACGUGUACAAAUCACCACCUCCCCCAUCACCGAAAUACGUAUACAAGUCGCCACCUCCUCCAUCACCAAAAUACAUAUACAAGUCCCCACCACCACCACCACCUUACUAUUACAAGUUCCCUCCACCACCAUCACCAUCUCCCCCACCUCCUUACUAUUACAAGUCUCCUCCACCACCAUCGCCAUCUCCUCCUCCACCAUAC
rnacentral:lncRNA from 1 species